rnacentral:snoRNA from 1 species
AAGAGUAUACUUUCAGGGAUCAUUUCUAUAGUUUGUUACUAGAAUUCUUGCUGCUUUACUUUCUCCUACCUGCUCCCACAAAAGACAUCCAUUAGCUAGCAUACUUCUGAAAGGU